rnacentral:lncRNA from 1 species
AGAGAGAGUGAGCAAGAGAGAGAGAGAAAGAGAUGGAAGGGAGAGAUAGACAGAAGGGGAGCGAGAGAGAGUCUAGUUCUUUCUUUUGAUAGAUUAUUCUGUGUCCAACGUCAUUUGUUUAUUUGUCUUGUUGCCAUAAGCCUGCACCAAUUCUGUCUUGUGAUCCUGGGUCAUCUUACUCUCUCUCUCUCGCUCUCACUCUCUCGCUCAUCUACUAUUCUUCUCCCUUGUCCAUCUCCUUGUCCUGUCUUUCAUGUCUCUUUCCCUCCCGAGCCAGUAAAUAUUCUCCCUUUACUCUACGACCCCCACAAAUCUUGUUCUCCUC